rnacentral:rRNA from 1 species
UACGUAGGGUGCGAGCGUUAAUCGGAAUUACUGGGUCGUAAGCGUGCGCAGGCGGUGAUGUAAGACCGAUGUGAAAUCCCCGGGCUUAACCUGGGAACUGCAUUGGUGACUGCAUUGCUGGAGUAUGGCAGAGGGGGGUGGAAUUCCACGUGUAGCAGUGAAAUGCGUAGAGAUGUGGAGGAACACCGAUGGCGAAGGCAGCCCCCUGGGCCAAUACUGACGCUCGAUGCACGAAAGCGUGGGGAGCAAACAGG